GAAUAUUGCUUUUUUCAGUAACGCGUUUGACUGGCAGUCAAAAGGCACGGGUUCGAAUCCCGUAUUCU
rnacentral:tRNA from 1 species